AUUGAACGCUGGCGGAAUGCUUUACACAUGCAAGUCGAACGGCAGCACGGACUUCGGUCUGGUGGCGAGUGGCGAACGGGUGAGUAACAUAUCGGAACGUAUCCAAUAAUGGGGGAUAACGAGUCGAAAGAUUCGCUAAUACCGCAUACGCCCUACGGGGGAAAGCUGGGGACCUUCGGGCCUGGCGUUAAUGGAGCGGCCGAUAUCUGAUUAGCUAGUUGGUGAGGUAAAGGCUCACCAAGGCGACGAUCAGUAGCUGGGCUGAGAGGACGACCAGCCACACUGGAACUGAGACACGGUCCAGACUCCUACGGGAGGCAGCAGUGGGGAAUUUUGGACAAUGGGCGCAAGCCUGAUUCAGCCAUUCCGCGUGAGUGAAGAAGGCCUUCGGGUUGUAAAGCUCUUUCGCAAGGGAAGAAAACUUAGCCACUAACAUUGGUUGAGGUUGACGGUACCUUGAUAAGAAGCACCGGCUAACUACGUGCCAGCCGCCGCCGUAA
rnacentral:rRNA from 1 species